rnacentral:rRNA from 1 species
CACUCCUACGGGAGGCAGCAGUGAGGAAUAUUGGACAAUGGGUGGAAGCCUGAUCCAGCCAUCCCGCGUGCAGGAAGACGGCCCUAUGGGUUGUAAACUGCUUUUAUCUGGGGAUAAACCUACUUACGUGUAAGUAGCUGAAGGUACCAGAAGAAUAAGCACCGGCUAACUCCGUGCCAGCAGCCGCGGUAAUACGGAGGGUGCAAGCGUUAUCCGGAUUUAUUGGGUUUAAAGGGUCCGUAGGCGGACUGAUAAGUCAGUGGUGAAAUCCGACAGCUUAACUGUCGAACUGCCAUUGAUACUGUUAGUCUUGAGUAAGGUUGAAGUGGCUGGAAUAAGUAGUGUAGCGGUGAAAUGCAUAGAUAUUACUUAGAACACCAAUUGCGAAGGCAGGUCACUAAGUCUUAACUGACGCUGAUGGACGAAAGCGUGGGGAGCGAACAGGAUUAGAAACCCGGGUAGUCCCAUG